GGGGAAUAUUGGACAAUGGGGGCAACCCUGAUCCAGCCAUGCCGCGUGUGUGAAGAAGGCCUUUUGGUUGUAAAGCACUUUAAGCGAGGAGGAGGCUACUUAGAUUAAUACUCUAGGAUAGUGGACGUUACUCGCAGAAUAAGCACCGGCUAACUCUGUGCCAGCAGCCGCGGUAAUACAGAGGGUGCGAGCGUUAAUCGGAUUUACUGGACGUAAAGCGUGCGUAGGCGGCUGUUUAAGUCGGAUUUGAAAUCCCUGAGCUUAACUUAGGAAUUGCAUUCGAUACUGGUCAGCUAGAGUAUGGGAGAGGAUGGUAGAAUUCCAGGUGUAGCGGUGAAAUGCGUAGAGAUCUGGAGGAAUACCGAUGGCGAAGGCAGCCAUCUGGCCUAAUACUGACGCUGAGGCACGAAAGCAUGGGGAGCAAAC
rnacentral:rRNA from 1 species